GUAAGUUUGGUUGUAGUAGAGUUUCAAGAUGGAUGACAGCGGGUGGGAUACUUUAUCUAGCGUUUGCCGAAUGCUAAUGUAGGACGUUUGCAAACCUCUGCUAGCAAGAAAAUUAUCAAGGGUAACGUUAGUCGUCCACUACGCUUGCUUUACUUGAGCCUGUCAAUGGUCAGGCUAAUUGUGAAACCUGCUCAAUCUAGGAGAAAUCUUUUAGAGUUGACUUGUAACUUAUUCCCUGUUGGAUGUGUGUAGUCUUAUAGAUGAAAGAACUCCUCUAGUUUUACAUGUCCAGUGUCUUUUAUAUCUAAUAUUAAUCGUGCAGCUCAAUGAAAACGCUGCAUGGAAACUUAAAUAGUUUGUUCCUGUAUGUUUCCGUCCUGAUGAAGACCUGAUGAGGUCCAAACCGGUUGGCGUCUUUUUACUGAGAUGCCCUGUUACAGAGUUUGAUGCUGUUACUACAUUAAUGUGACUAGUAAGCAGGGCCGGCCCGUGGCAUAGGCAGUAUAGGCAAAUGCUAAGGGCGCCGUACAUCC